CGCCGCGAUGACCCCGCGCGGAGCGUGGCUUCUGUACGCGCUCUGCAGCCUGGCGGCCUCGCCGCGCGGCGCCGCCGUGCAACUUCAGCAGGGCAUGCCAAAUGUAUGUCCUGAACAAGAGCUGGCAAUGGUGGCACACCAGCAGCCGUGCGUUCAAGCUUUCAGCCGUACGGUAAAGACCUGGAGCCAGGGCUGUGCAGCAUCAAGAUGGUGUCUGGGUUAUGAGAGAAGGACAGGCUACUAUACCAUCUAUAAGCAGGUAUACAGCAUUGAACGCCACACAGUCUUUAAGUGUUGCCCUGGGUGGGGCAGGAAGGAUGAUGACGAACCUGGAUGCCUACACUCUCUGUGCUCUGUUGGUACUUGCUUCCAUGGAGGGAAAUGUGCUGAAGGAACAUCCCAGCUCUGCCAGUGUCCAGUGGGGUUUCAUGGUCCACGCUGCCAGUAUGAUGUAAAUGAAUGUGCUAUUGAGAAUGGAGGCUGUGAGAACCAAUGUUGCAAUACAGUUGGCAGCUAUUACUGCAAAUGCCCGACUGGCCAGAAAGUGGGGGAAGACAGGACAUCAUGUGAAGAUAUCAAUGAAUGUGCUGUGAGGAAUGGAGGCUGCCAGCAGAGCUGUGUGAACACGCUUGGUUCCUUCCACUGUGAAUGUGAUGCAGGUUAUAGACUCCACGCUGAUGGACGCACUUGCAUAAAGAAUGAUCCCUGUGCCAGUGGAAAUGGAGGGUGCCUACACAUCUGCCAUAAUGAGAGUGGACAUGCAAAAUGUGCAUGCUAUGCUGGAUAUUCCCUUUUGGCAGACGGGAAGUCUUGUGCAGAUGCUGAUGAGUGUGCAGAGGGAGUUGCAAGGUGCACUCACGGCUGCGUGAACACCCUGGGGUCCUUUGCAUGCUUUUGUAAUCCCGGUUUUGAAGUUGGGACUGAUGGAAGGCAAUGCUACCGUAUUGAAAUGGAAAUUGUCAACAGCUGUGAGGACAACAAUGGAGGCUGUUUUCAUCACUGUGAGCACUCCUCCAGUGGACCAGUCUGCUCCUGUAACCAAGGUUACCUCUUGAAUUCUGAUGGGAAGACAUGUAAAGCCUUGGAUGAUGAUGAACUGAAAGAAGAAAAACUGGAGAUUGCCAAGCUUCCUGAUCUUCGCUUUAGAAGACCACCUGAUUUCCUUCAUUUCAGUACUUCACUAGAUUCCUUCUAUGAUGAUCAGGAAGAAGAUCUCCGUGGAGAACUCACUCUUAUGCACAAAGUUGCGUGCCUGGAUAAUAUGUUUGGAAAUGACUGCAGCUUAAGUUGUUCUGACUGCAUGAAUGGAGGGGAGUGCAACAGUGAGAACACCGGCUGCAGCUGCCCACCUGGAUGGACUGGCAUAAUCUGCAAUGAAACCUGCUCCACAGGGACGUAUGGACAAGAUUGCAGCAGCCUUUGCAAGUGCCUGAACGGAGGCGCCUGUGACCCUGCAACAGGGCGGUGCCAUUGCCCACCAGGGAUUAAUGGAAAGUUUUGCGAAGAUGGCUGCCCCAGAGGACUUUACGGGAAGCACUGUCGCAAGAAAUGUAAUUGCAUCAAUGGUGGAUACUGCCACAGACUGUAUGGAGCCUGCCUGUGUGACCCAGGGCUGUACGGUCGCUUCUGCCAUCUAACCUGUCCCAAAUGGGUCUUUGGAGCUGGCUGUUCGGAGGAGUGCCAGUGUCUGAAGGAGAACUCCCUCGGCUGUGAUCCCAGAAAUGGCAGUUGCCUGUGCAAGCCCGGCUACGAAGGAAGCAGGUGUCAAAAAGCUUGUGAUCCUGGUUCCUGGGGACAGCUCUGUGGGAGCUCAUGUGACUGCAAGGACCGUGCUGGUAGCUGUGACCCUGGUACUGGGAUUUGCUUCUGUGAAGCAGGAUAUACUGGAAAACACUGUGAGCAGACUUGUCCAGAUGGCUUUUUUGGGCUUGACUGUGGCCAGGUAUGUGACUGCAAGAAUGGAGCCCCCUGUGACCACAUCGUUGGAACUUGCCAGUGCCAUCCUGGCUGGAUGGGACCCAAAUGUGACCGACCUUGUCUGCCAGGCACAUACGGAGAGAACUGUAACCAAGUGUGUCAGUGCUCUGGAAAGAAUGAAGAGUGCCAUCACGUCACAGGCCAAUGCGGCUGCCGGGCGGGUUACUACGGGAUCCAUUGUGACCUUCGAUGUCCAAAAGGUACAUAUGGCCCAUUGUGCAGGAAGACAUGCCAUUGUCUGAAUGGAGGGCACUGUGACACCAUGACGGGAACCUGUGACUGUCCCCCUGGCUUCAUUGGAGCAGAUUGUGGUAAACCUUGUCCAGAGCAUCGCUAUGGGAAGGACUGCACCUUGUUCUGUUCCUGCAGGGAAGGCCGGUGUGAUCCAGUGACUGGCAAAUGCCACUGCCCACCCGGCCGACUUGGACCAAAUUGCCUCCAAUUGUGUCCCCAGGGAAGAUAUGGCCCCAACUGUCAACUAAAAUGCUUGUGUAAGAAUGGUGCUGUCUGUGAUCCUGCCAAUGGAACUUGUGCUUGUGGACUUGGCUGGACAGGAAGCUACUGUGAGAAAGAAUGUGCUGUUGGAAAAUAUGGCUUUGAUUGUCAGCUACAAUGUGCUUGUCAGAAUAAUGGAACUUGCAACAGAUUUACUGGCUGCUGUCAGUGCACAGAAGGUUAUUACGGGCAUUCCUGCGAAUAUACCUGCCCUUCUGGGUUUUAUGGUCUCAACUGCCAGUACUCAUGCAACUGCACAAACGGAGCAGGAUGUCACACAGUGACUGGGCAGUGCAUUUGUCCCCCAGGUUUCCAAGGUCUACAAUGUGAAAAGGGUUGUCCUCCUGGGAGGUUUGGGGACAAAUGUCAGCAGCAUUGUGAGUGUAAAGGAUCAGCUCCAUGUGAUGCAAUUACUGGAAAAUGCCUUUGCCCACCUGGCAUGACUGGGGACAGGUGUGACAUUGAGUGUCCAGCAGACAAAUAUGGCCCCAACUGUUCACAGCAAUGCCACUGUGCCAACAAAUCCCAAUGCAAUGCCCGCAAUGGGAGAUGCACUUGUUUCUCCAAAUGGACGGGACCAACUUGUGAAGAAGGUGGCCCUUCAAAACUUCCUUCAUAUGAAGAACAAACUCAGAAGAAAUGGAAUGCUUUUUCAAGAUUACCACAACAGGAAUACUUGGGCUAAUAAAUGAACUGUUUUAUAUGCACAGACGGUAUUUAACUUUGGAAAUGAGAGCUGCUAUUCAUUUCAGCUUGAACUGUACUGAAGAAUUCACACUUCUUCAUGCAAGUCCACAGUGUCCAUUAAGUAGCUGGAUUCCUUUUAAAAGUUUGUAGCUCUGUUCUGUUUAUUUAUUCUUGACCUCCAGCUUCCUUCUAAUUAAUCCACACUUAGUAUCCUUUCCAAGGGUCCAUCCUGCUUUUUCGGGAUGGUGCUUUCUAGGGAAGUUUCCCGUGGAACAAGUUAGUACGCUCCAGCACAAUAAGAGUGAACCACUAAAACCAAAUCUGCAUUCUGCUCUAAUAAAUCCCAGCUUGCACCACAUGGGGGCACAUUCUGACAGCAUACUCACCACACGUCGUUGACAUGGUAGAAUUCCUUUAUGGAUAUACCCGUAAGUAAUUGGGCAUACCAGGGUAAAUUGGAUAAAAGAUUCAGUGAUACUACCCAAAUCCCACAACAUCUCCUGUCUGGCUUCAUGGAUACCGAAAUGACAGAGCUUCUGGGAUUCAGCUACUGAGUUUGAAUAUGCCCAACCCAUCUAAACUAUUGCUCUACUGCAUCCCAUUGCUUCUUCCUUCAGCCAUAACAAGCCAUACAACUUUUUGGUUAGCUUUCUGUCAAGUCCAUGACAUUGCCUAGUAAGUACUGCACCCGGAAUAUAGUUUGUACAUAGUUAUUAAGAGGAGAUUCUUUCCCCUCUGAGCUUCCAUUCAGUGGCUCUACGAAACCAAAGAUUUAUUGUUUACACCCAGUGAAGUCAAUGGGACAAGUGAACUUCAUGCCUUAAGCAGACCUUAAACUCUGCUUGCCUUCAACUCUCUGAAUUGGAGAUCAAUACCAUUUUCUUCUGUUCCAUGACAAUGCAGCUAUAAAAGGGAAUUCAAAGGUAAUUAGAGUUAAUUAUCUUCUAUCUCACUCAGGUAAUAUUUAGUUUGAGUUUGUUAGUCUAAAGCUCUGGAUGCAUGUUUCCCAUUAUGUAUAGGUUUUUUAGUCAGUCACUCUGUUCAGAUGGGAUUUAAAACUGGAUUAUAAUUCUCACAAUAUAGGACUGGUUGUUACUUAUCUACUGUUGCUGCAUGUUUUUCCUGUGUCCCACAGACAUGUAAUUUGUAUAUACACACACAUGUAAUAGUCAACAUGGGGCUAAGAAGAGCCUUAUCCAAAAAAUGUAGCUUGCACCAGAGGGAUUUAUUUGCAGUGUUUUCACAAAUGGGGAAUGGAUCUAAAUCAGUGAAUUCCAAAGGCACAAACCUUGUUUUAGUGCAUUCUGUUUUGUAGUGAAUCUUAUUUUAAUUGGAUCUCACCCCAUAUGUUCUCUUUGAAUUUCUUUACUACUCAACACAAAAAAUGAAACAUUGCUAAAUUAUAAUUUCUAUUUCAUUUUUCUAAUUCAUUUCCAUUGUGGGAAAGCAACCCAUCCUUUUGAAUUUUUAACUGUAAAUAAUACUGUAAAUGUGAUAAAGAAUUCUGUAUCUAGAAUUCCCUUUCUAAGCUAUAAAUAAGGGAACAGUAUUGGGGUAAAAGAAAAUACGUUGACAUUACUUUUCAAAUAAUGGUCUGAAAAUACCAUUGCUGACAUCAAUUUCUUCAAGUUUCUCUCCAUGUUUAUCAUAAUAAAAUGCCAAAAAAGGAGAUUGUAUGGUUUAAAAUAUGGCAUAAAGUGUGAUCUGAUGCAUGUUUAGACAGAAAACAGGCCUACAACUCCCAUCAUGCCCCAAACAGCAUGCUUUUUUCUGGCUAAACACACACCGGAUUGUACCCUUAAUAUGUUAAAUGGUCAUUUAGCCAUGAGGAAACUGUCCAGGUAGCGAUUAUGCAUAUUUUGUUUGCAUGAGGCAUAUAUAAUGUAUAGCUUAGAUUUCAUGAAUGUGCCAUAAAUGUUAACAGACUUGUUUAUACUCUGUUUUAUAAGACUUCAGUAUGAAUUUUGUUCUAAAAUAGUCUUAGCUUAAUGCCAGCAAUGAAAACAGUAAAAUAUAUUACAAACAUGCCUGGAUAAAAUCAUUUUGUGAGCUGAUUAGUUUUGAAAGCCUCUUGAAAUCAAAGAAUGCUAUAGUGUCUCUUGUAAAAUAUUAUAGGACUAGAACUCUAUAUUAUAUUUCAGAAAUGCUAAGCCAGAAGGAACAAAUUCGUCAUCAAUACAGGGGAUGGAACAAAAAAUGUCACUAAGGGUUUUACAUUAAAAUGUGUAUGCGUGUUUAAAGGAAAUUCAUUUUUGUCACUAUGUUCGCAUUAUUCCUAUUCCAAUUCUGAACAGCUCAUAAAAAAUGUUUUUUUCACUUUCUUCUGGUUUCAGCAAUCACUGCAAACUGUACUGUCUCUCAUGUUUUUGCAGUAAAAUCUUGCAAGACUAACAAGGGAAGAACUGGGAAGUAUCCAUUUGCUUCAGACUCAAGAUAAAAAUCAGUCAACACAUUCCCAUCAUGGUCUGCCCAUCCUUGCAAGAUUUCAUUGUGACCUACCAGAGAGUAUUUGUUACAAGGCUGCUGAUCAUGAGAACAGCAUAUUCCAUAAUUCUCUAUCCUUGUGCGACUUCACUGCCACAUCUUUAAUUUUGAAGCUGGAACAUCUGGUUUAAAACAGUCGAAUGCAAUUGCAAAAGAUGGAGGGACAACUGAGAAAUUGAAUAUAUAAAGUAGCAGUUUCAGUCCAUCUUUCCAAUAUAACAUCUUUGAAAAAGAAAAGAUCAUCCUGGGCACAUUCCACAAGAGUGAUUUUCUGCACAAGACCCACUCAAAGGGAUAGGAAAACGAUCCACGGAUAUUGCAACAUCUGGCCUCUCCCGACCUUAUCUCAGCAAGGAUGCCAUCCAGCCUCCAUGUGCCAGCCUCGUUUCCCCUUGUCAUGAUGUCCAUAUGUUAUCUCAACUACGGUUGAAUACACACUGAGAUGACCUUCUUGGUAGCCCCACUGGGGAAUUAAGUGAUAUGGAGAGGCAUCUGGGUUUUAUUGUGAGUUCUCUUAAGGUUUAUUCGGGCCAGAACAGCAGCAGAUAAGGUUUUGUUUUUACUCCGUUUCGUGACACAAUUGCUCAAGGUGGUAACAUUCCUUCCAGUGAGUCAUCUGCUUCUUCCUGCAAGCUAUUUCCAAUAUUGUGUUAGUUAUUACUUAGGCAAACAGAAGCCUGCUCUGCUGUCCUAUUUGCCUUUUCUCUCCUUCACUUACCAAGAGCUUUUGGGCUUUCCUCUCCCUGUAGGUACACUUCCACAUCUGAGGAGUUGUGCCUCCAUCUGGAGCGGGAUAACUUGACCUUGGUUAAUCUAUGCUUUGGUAAUCUCUGAGCCAGGCUGCUCCAACACACUCUGUGUUACAACUACCACUGGGGCUGCAACUUGUGUAAUACGUGGCAGCCAGGUUGAUAAGGGGUUCCAAACAUAAAACAUAUCUGAUCUGCUUGAACUGGCCACCUAGAUGUUUCCAAGCCUGAUCCAAGGUGCUGGUUUCAACCAGUAAAGCCUUGCAUGGCUUGGGAUCACAGUACCUGACAGAGCACCACUGCUUAUGCUACACUUCUCAUUUAAUGCUCUCCUCCAGGUGACCGUAACAAGGGAGGUGGCAACAAGGCAGAGAGAUUUCUCAGGGGAGAAUCAUUUCCCCAGCAAGACCUGCCUGAUGCCAGCAUUGUUGUAUUUUUGGCACCAGGUUAAGACCGUCCUCUCCUCUCACACACUUGGCAGCACAUGAUGGGGUGAUUAUGUAAAAUUGCUUAGAAGCGUGUGUAUGAUUUUAAUGGAUUUGAAUCUUUGCAAACUUCAACUAUUCAGUGGUAUAGAAAUGUACGCACUGAAUACAUUGAAUAAAGUUUGUCAGAUACCCAAAUCUUUCAUGAUAGGCAGAAAGAUCCCAAACCAAACAAUACAUUUAGCACAUGACAACUCCUCCCAAGCAUCUGUUCAUUUGUUGUUGUUUUUUUAGCAACUGUGGCCAUGGGAUGGGGUUGGGGGAGAUCAGGAUCAGAAGAUGGCUCUCCCUUGCUCUUUUUCUCUUCUGUCAUCAUCGUCAAACCUGCUCUUUGCACCUGAAGGGUGAAGGAAUCGGUGUUAGUUACAGGCCCGCUACAGAUUCCUCCCUGAACCCGUGGUUGCAAGUCCUAAAACUGACAGUGCUAUUCCAGAUUUUUGGGGGGCCUUGAACAAGCUGCUUUCACUAGCCAUCCCUUACUGAGCUCCCUUCUGGAAUGAGGACCUUGGCUGAUGCCCAGCAAUGCCUACUCCUGAUGGUAGACCUGAAAUAAAACCAAGUCCAGAUUUAUAUUCACGUGGUAAAAUAGGGAGGCUUUUUCAUUCUGGGUAGUUGAGCAUAUGGGAGAGGGUAAAGGACCUGGGCCAACCCCUGUGUGUUCAUCAGAGAGCUUACAUAAAAGGCUCCAGCAUCUGAAAGGCAUUCCCUGGAAAAGUGGGAUAGGGAAUCACAUGCCUGGGAGAGCGUACGCAUUCUAUGCAGAGCUCCUUUCUGGUGGUAGCUGGGCUAUCCACCACACUUCUCUCGUUUAAACACCAGUUAAGACAUUUUUAAAAGACAUUUUUAUCUGUGCAAGCUCUCUUAUGUUGCUAUCAAAAUUUAAUUGUAUUUAACUGUGUAUUUGUGGUUUUAGAGUUAUGAUUGUAAUGCUGUUUAGACCGAAUGCUCACCAAGGCAGAAAACCCAUGUCUGUUCUGUCUCCACUUCUCAUGGACACUACAGUGCCAUACCUCUCUGUACUAAAUCCCUUCCACACAAAAUACCAGGUGUUCAGGAGUAAGGUCUGCCGGCGGUCAGACUAGAUGGCCCAGGAGGCCCCUUCUGACUCACUCUGUUUCUAUGCUUCUAUGUCUUAGGCUAGAUGUUUUCCUAACUUGCAGAUUUUCUGUAUGCAGGACUUUGUGACUUUUUGGUAUGGAGGGAAGCCUUUAUUUGCAUUUAUCUAGCCAUAAUUAUGAACUCAAUAAAACUAGGAUU